CUUCUUCGUUUUGAUCAGAAAUCUCAAAUAGAGCUCCGAUUAGAAAUCCAAAAGAUAGAAGACGAUUAUCUGAUCAAAACCUAAAACCUUGGUUCGAUUUUGAUCGGAACUAUUUUUUAUCCCAACUCUCUCUGUCUCUCUCUCUCUCCAAUGGCAUGCUUCUUCUUCUUCUCUGUUUCUCUGCCCUCGCUUCGCAUCCAGAGCAAGACGAUGUUGUUUGGAUUUGAAAUCGAUUUCGAACUUGGAAAAUGUUGAAAAUGGAGCACGCGGUCGUUCCCCUGAGGAGGUGCUGGAGCACGUGUUCUCGUUCCUGCAGUCGGACGGCGACCGAAGCUCGACCUCGCUGGUGUGCAAGUGGGGGUAGAUUAUCGAGCGGUGAUCUGAAAAUUCAGAGCUUUGGUUUUUGCAUUAUCGGUAAUUUGUUAGUUACCUUCAGUAUGAUAAUACUAUGCUGGAGAACAAGCAAAAAGAGCUGAAGGGAUACAUAGCUUACUUCAGUCUGUGGAAACUUCCGUGAAUGCUUAUGAGGCUAUUGUAGACAUAAUGUAGGAGCCAUAUACUUUUGGAAGGAAUAAAGUUCAAACAAAUGCUCAAUGGCCAUGAAUGUGGGAGCCAAUCACAAAGCUGUUCAUCAUGAAGAUGGCAAAAAGAUAACCAGGUUU